rnacentral:rRNA from 1 species
GAAUCUUGGACAAUGGGCGCAAGCCUGAUCCAGCCAUGCCGCGUGAGUGAAGAAGGCCUUAGGGUUGUAAAGCUCUUUUGCCGGGGACGAUAAUGACGGUACCCGGAGAAUAAGUCCCGGCUAACUUCGUGCCAGCAGCCGCGGUAAUACGAAGGGGACUAGCGUUGUUCGGAAUUACUGGGCGUAAAGCGCACGUAGGCGGAUUGCUAAGUCAGGGGUGAAAUCCCGGGGCUCAACCUCGGAACUGCCUUUGAUACUGACAAUCUAGAGUCCGAUAGAGGUGGGUGGAAUUCCUAGUGUAGAGGUGAAAUUCGUAGAUAUUAGGAAGAACACCGGUGGCGAAGGCGGCCCACUGGAUCGGUACUGACGCUGAGGUGCGAAAGCGUGGGGAGCAAACAG